rnacentral:rRNA from 1 species
UGGCGGACGGGUGAGUAAUGUCUGGGAAACUGCCUGAUGGAGGGGGAUAACUACUGGGAACGGUAGCUAAUACCGCAUAACGUCGCAAGACCAAAGAGGGGGACCUUCGGGCCUCUUGCCAUCGGAUGUGCCCAGAUGGGAUUAGCUAGUAGGUGGGGUAAAGGCUCACCUAGGCGACGAUCCCUAGCUGGUCUGAGAGGAUGACCAGCCACACUGGAACUGAGACACGGUCCAGACUCCUACGGGAGGCAGCAU